UACGGAGGGUGCGAGCGUUGUCCGGAAUCAUUGGGCGUAAAGGGCGCGUAGGCGGCCCGCUAAGUCGAACGUGAAAUCCCCGAGCUCAACUCGGGAACUGCGUCCGAUACUGGCGGGCUUGAAUCCGGGAGAGGGAUGCGGAAUUCCAGGUGUAGCGGUGAAAUGCGUAGAUAUCUGGAGGAACACCGGUGGCGAAGGCGGCGUUCUGGACUGUUACUGACACUGAGGAACGAAAGCCAGGGGAGCAAACGGG
rnacentral:rRNA from 1 species